UGACUGUAGCGUAACUGACGCUGAAGCUCGAAAGUGUGGGUAUCGAACAGGGUUAGAUACCCUGGUAGUCCACACGGUAAACGAUGGAUGCUCGCUGUGCGCCUUUAGAGGUGCGUGGCCAAGCGAAAGCAUUAAGCAUCCCACCUGGGGAGUACGCCGGCAACGGUGAAACUCAAAGGAAUUGACGGGGGCCCGCACAAGCGGAGGAACAUGUGGUUUAAUUCGAUGAUACGCGAGGAACCUUACCCGGGCUUGAACUGCCAGUGAACGAUUCAGAGAUGAUGAGGCCCUUCGGGGCGCUGGUGGAGGUGCUGCAUGGUUGUCGUCAGCUCGUGCCGUGAGGUGCCGGCUUAAGUGCCAUAACGAGCGCAACCCCUUUCGUCAGUUGCCAUCAGGUAAUGCUGGGCACUCUGGCGAUACUGCCACCGUAAGGUGUGAGGAAGGUGGGGAUGACGUCAAAUCAGCACGGCCCUUACGUCCGGGGCUACACACGUGUUACAAUGGCGCAUACAGAGAGUUGGCUUAUGGCGACAUGAGUCUAAUCAAGAAAAUGCGUCGUAGUUCGGAUUGGGGUCUGCAACCCGACCCCAUGAAGCUGGAU
rnacentral:rRNA from 1 species